rnacentral:rRNA from 1 species
GUGUAGCGGUGAAAUGCUUAGAUAUCACGAAGAACUCCGAUCGCGAAGGCAGGUGUCCGGCGCGCCACUGACGCUGAGGCUCGAAGGUGCGGGUAUCAAACAGGAUUAGAUACCCUGGUAGUCCGCACGGUAAACGAUGGAUACUCGCGGUGUGUGAGUUGUUUAUGCGCCGCCAAGCGAAAGCGUUAAGUAUCCCACCUGGGGAGUACGCCGGCAACGGUGAAACUCAAAGGAAUUGACGGGGGCCCGCACAAGCGGAGGAACAUGUGGUUUAAUUCGAUGAUACGCGAGGAACCUUACCCGGGCUUGAAUUGCAGCUGCAUGGAGCAGAGAUGUUCCUUCCCUUCGGGGCUGCUGUGAAGGUGCUGCAUGGUUGUCGUCAGCUCGUGCCGUGAGGUGUCGGCUUAAGUGCCAUAACGAGCGCAACCCUUUUCCCCGGUUGCCAUCAGGUAAUGCUGGGCACUCCGAGGAUACUGCCGCCGCAAGGCGUGAGGAAGGUGGGGAUGACGUCAAAUCAGCACGGCCCUUACGUCCGGGGCUACACACGUGUUACAAUGGGGGAUACAGAGCGUUGCCACCCGGUGACGGGGCGCUAAUCGUGAAAAUCCCUCCCAGUUCGGACUGGAGUCUGCAACCCGACUCCACGAAGCUGGAUUCGCUAGUAAUCGCGCAUCAGCCAUGGCGCGGUGAAUACGUUNNNNNNCCUUGUACACACCGCCCGUCAAGCCAUGAAAGCCGGNNNNNNNUGAAAGACGUGACCGCGAGGGUCGGUCUAGGGUAAGACCGGUGAUUGGAGGGAAGUCGUAACAAGGUAACCA